AUUCAUCUGUCCAUGUUCACUCCAUGACUAAUAGCACUACUAAAAUCACCAGGGUGCUACAGAUUCGCAAGCUCGCCUAAGAUUAUGGAAGCACCAUCCGUACUUGCGCUCCAUUCCUCGGCACCAAGUUCUCUGUCACUGCACAAAGUAAGAGAAGUGGCCCCAAAAUCAGUUCACCUACUUCACCAGAACUAAGAAACAAAUAGAAAUCCAAGAGGAUCAAGCUGCAACAUUACUAGGAGCAUCAACGGUACGAGAAGCCCGCUGGAGUGAACUAAGAAACAAAAAAUAUUUUUAGUAAUUUAGUAAUUGAACUGAUGGUCUUUUUGUGAAAUCAUGCACUAAAUAACUGCUGCAGAAUAUGGAAAAUAUACCAAAGAGAAACCGGAGGUGUGGCGGCACUGCUGCAGCACUUGUGGAUUUUAUAACAUUUUCAAGAGAAUCGGGCCAUACACUUG
rnacentral:lncRNA from 1 species